rnacentral:rRNA from 1 species
AUGGCCUCCCCCACGCCCUACUCCUCUCGCCCCUCCCCUUCCUGGCCGAACCAACCAGCCCACCCAGCACCCUUCCUCCUCCAAGAAAGCAAAGCCGUGCCCUCUGACCGGGGGAUGAGAUCUGCGCCUGCGGGGAAUUUAUUGGCGCUCUCCACCGGCGGGGCUUGGAGAGGCCGGCGUUCCCCGUCGAGAUCCGUCGCGCGCAUCCUCCAGCGCCACCCGCAGCACGUCGAGUACACCACCACCCUGGACCGCCUCGGCCUGGCCGACCUCUCGUCCCCGCACUCCCAGACGCGCGCCGCCGCCAUGGGGAUCAUGCCCCCUCCAAGUCCAAGCAGCGGGCAGCGCCGAGGAAACGACGCAAUGGUUCUCCCCAACACCCCGCCCGUGGACUACCCCACCUUCAAGCUCAUCCUCGUCGGCGACGGCGGCACCGGCAAGACGACGUUCGUGAAGAGGCACGUCACCGGGGAGUUCGAGAAGAAGUACGAAUCGACGAUCGGCGUGGAGGUGCGGCCGCUGGACUUCCAGACGAGCCACGGCAAGAUCAGGUUCUACUGCUGGGACAUUGUUCGGGAAUUCGGUAACUGGUGA